UACGGAGGGUGCAAGCGUUGUUCGGAAUUACUGGGCGUAAAGGGCGCGUAGGCGGUACUUCAAGUCAGGCGUGAAAGCCCCGGGCUCAACCUGGGAACCGCGCUUGAGACUGGAGAACUAGAGUUCGGGAGAGGAUGGUGGAAUUCCCAGUGUAGAGGUGAAAUUCGUAGAUAUUGGGAAGAACACCGAUGGCGAAGGCAGCCAUCUGGACCGACACUGACGCUGAGGCGCGAAAGCAUGGGGAGCAAACAGGG
rnacentral:rRNA from 1 species